AACGAACGCUGGCGGCAGGCUUAACACAUGCAAGUCGAACGGGUGUAGCAAUACAUCAGUGGCAGACGGGUGAGUAACACGUGGGAACCUUCCUCGUUGUACGGAACAACUCAGGGAAACUUGAGCUAAUACCGUAUACGUCCGAGAGGAGAAAGAUUUAUCGCAAUGAGACGGGCCCGCGUCGGAUUAGCUAGUUGGUAAGGUAACGGCUUACCAAGGCGACGAUCCGUAGCUGAUCUGAGAGGUUGAUCAGCCACACUGGGACUGAGACACGGCCCAGACUCCUACGGGAGGCAGCAGUGGGGAAUCUUGGACAAUGGGCGCAAGCCUGAUCCAGCCAUGCCGCGUGAGUGAAGAAGGCCUUCGGGUUGUAAAGCUCUUUUGUCAGGGACGAUAAUGACGGUACCUGAAGAAUAAGCCCCGGCAAACUUCGUGCCAGCCGCCGCCGUAAAAC
rnacentral:rRNA from 1 species